rnacentral:rRNA from 1 species
AGGAAAAGAAACCAACAGGGAUUGCCCCAGUAACGGCGAGUGAAGCGGCAGCAGCUCAAAUUUGAAAUCUGGCCUCCUCGGGGGGGGCCCGAGUUGUAAUUUGCAGAGGAUGCUCCUGGCGAGGCGCCUUCCGAGUUCCCUGGAACGGGACGCCGCAGAGGGUGAGAGCCCCGUCUGGCUGGACGCCGAGCCCCCGUGGAGCUCCUUCGACGAGUCGAGUAGUUUGGGAAUGCUGCUCUAAACGGGAGGUAUAUGUCUUCUAAAGCUAAAUACCGGCCGGAGACCGAUAGCGCACAAGUAGAGUGAUCGAAAGAUGAAAAGCACUUUGGAAAGAGGGUUAAACAGUACGUGAAAUUGUUGAAAGGGAAGCGCUCGCGACCAGACGUGGACCCGGCGAAUCAUCCAGCGUUCCUCGCCGGUGCACUUCGCCGGGCCUCCAGGCCAGCAUCAGCUCGCGCCGGGGGACAAAGGCUGGGGGAACGUAGCUCCUCCGGGAGUGUUAUAGCCCCCCGCGCAAUGCCCCGGGGCGGGCUGAGGCGCGCAUCUGCCCGCAAGGAUGCUGGCGUAAUGGUCGUCAGCGACC